UACAGAGGUCUCAAGCGUUGUUCGGAUUCAUUGGGCGUAAAGGGUGCGUAGGCGGCGCGGUAAGUCGGGUGUGAAAUCUCGGAGCUUAACUCCGAAACUGCAUUCGAUACUACCGUGCUUGAGGACUGGAGAGGAGACUGGAAUUUACGGUGUAGCAGUGAAAUGCGUAGAUAUCGUAAGGAAGACCAGUGGCGAAGGCGGGUCUCUGGACAGUUCCUGACGCUGAGGCACGAAGGUCAGGGGAGCAAACGGG
rnacentral:rRNA from 1 species